rnacentral:rRNA from 1 species
AGCGAACGCUGGCGGCAGGCCUAACACAUGCAAGUCGAACGAUGUCUUCGGACUUAGUGGCGGACGGGUGAGUAACACGUGGGAACGUGCCUUUAGGUUCGGAAUAACUCAGGGAAACUUGUGCUAAUACCGAGUGUGCCCUUCGGGGGAAAGAUUUAUCGCCUUUAGAGCGGCCCGCGUCUGAUUAGCUAGUUGGUGAGGUAAAGGCUCACCAAGGCUACGAUCAGUAGUUGGUCUGAGAGGAUGACCAGCCACAUUGGGACUGAGACACGGCCCAAACUCCUACGGGAGGCAGCAGUGGGGAAUCUUGCGCAAUGGGCGAAAGCCUGACGCAGCCAUGCCGCGUGGAUGAUGAAGGUCUUAGGAUUGUAAAAUCCUUUCACCGGUGAAGAUAAUGACUGUAGCCGGAGAAGAAGCCCCGGCUAACUUCGUGCCAGCCGCCGCGGUAACAC